rnacentral:rRNA from 1 species
CCUACGGGAGGCAGCAGUGAGGAAUAUUGGUCAAUGGGCGCGAGCCUGAACCAGCCAAGUAGCGUGAAGGAUGACUGCCCUACGGGUGGUAAACUUCUUUUAUAAAGGAAUAAAGUGAGGCACGUGUGAGGUUUUGUAUGUACUUGAUGAAUAAGGAUCGGCUAACUCCGUGCCAGCAGCCGCGGUAAUACGGAGGAUCCGUGCGUUAUCCGGGUUGAGUGGGUUUAAAGGGAGCGUAGAUGGGUUGUUAAGUCAGUUGUGUACUUUUGCGGCUCAACCGUAAAAUUGCAAUUGAUACUGGCAGUCUUGAGUACAGUUGAGGUAGGCGGAAUUCGUUGUGUAGCGGUGAAAUGCUUAGCUAUCACGAAGAACUCCGAUUGCGAAGGCAGCUUACUAAACUGCCACUGACAUUGCUGCUCGAAAGUGUGGGUAUCAAACAGGAUUAGAUACCCUAGUAGUC